rnacentral:rRNA from 1 species
AUUGAACGCUGGCGGUAGGCUUAACACAUGCAAGUCGAACGGCAGCACAGUAUGAGCCUGCUCUUACAGGGGCCAACGGGUGGGUAGUUGAGCAAAACAUGCGCAUCUACUUUUUAGAGGGGGACAACGUAGGGAAUAAUACGCCAAAACAGCAGACGGUGUAAGCGUGGAAGCAGAAGACCUUCCGACCUUGCGCGAGUCGAUGUGCCGAUGUCGGAUUAGCUAGUUGGUGGGGUAAAGGCCCACCAAGGCGACGAUCCGUAGCUGGUCUGAGAGGAUGACCAGCCACACUGGAACUGAGACACGGUCCAGACUCCUACGGGAGGCAGCAGUGGGGAAUUUUGGACAAAGGGCGCAAGCCUGAUCCAGCCAUGCCGCGUGCGUGAAGAAGGCCUUCGGGUUGUAAAGCGCUUUUGUUGGGGAAGAAAAGCUGUAGGCUAAUACCCCGCGGUGCUGACGGUACCGAAAGAAUAAGCACCGGCUAACUUCGUG